UGCGCAAUGGGGGAAACCCUGACGCAGCGACGCCGCGUGGGUGAUGAAGGCCUUCGGGUCGUAAAACCCUUUUGCCACUGACGAGGAAGGACGGUAGGUGGCGAAUAAGCCUCGGCUAACUACGUGCCAGCAGCCGCGGUAAUACGAAGGGUGCAAGCGUUACUCGGAAUUACUGGGCGUAAAGCGUGCGUAGGCGGUCUGUUAAGUCUGCUGUGAAAUCCCCGGGCUCAACCUGGGAAUGGCAGUGGAAACUGGCGGGAUAGAGUACGGUAGAGGAUGGUGGAAUUCCCGGUGUAGCGGUGAAAUGCGUAGAGAUCGGGAGGAACACCAGUGGAGAAGGCGGCCAUCUGGACCAGUACUGACGCUGAGGCACGAAAGCGUGGGGAGCAAACA
rnacentral:rRNA from 1 species